ensembl:piRNA 21ur-1190 ncRNA
UUAGGACAUAAUAUGAUCUUA